AUUGAACGCUGGCGGCAAGCUUAACACAUGCAAGUCGAGCGGAGAUGAGGUGCUUGCACCUUAUCUUAGCGGCGGACGGGUGAGUAAUGCUUAGGAAUCUGCCUAUUAGUGGGGGACAACAUUCCGAAAGGAAUGCUAAUACCGCAUACGUCCUACGGGAGAAAGCAGGGGAUCUUCGGACCUUGCGCUAAUAGAUGAGCCUAAGUCGGAUUAGCUAGUUGGUGGGGUAAAGGCCUACCAAGGCGACGAUCUGUAGCGGGUCUGAGAGGAUGAUCCGCCACACUGGGACUGAGACACGGCCCAGACUCCUACGGGAGGCAGCAGUGGGGAAUAUUGGACAAUGGGGGGGACCCUGAUCCAGCCAUGCCGCGUGUGUGAAGAAGGCCUUAUGGUUGUAAAGCACUUUAAGCGAGGAGGAGGCUACUGAGACUAAUACUCUUGGAUAGUGGACGUUACUCGCAGAAUAAGCACCGGCCAACUCUGUGCCAGCCGCCGCGGUAA
rnacentral:rRNA from 1 species